CAUUGGCUCAANCAGUGUAUGCUUUGGAAACUGUUAGACUUGAGUGCAGAAGGGGAGAGUGGAAUUCCAUGUGUAGCGGUGAAAUGCGUAGAUAUAUGGAGGAACACCGGUGGCGAAAGCGGCUCUCUGGUCUGUCACUGACGCUGAGGCUCGAAAGCGUGGGUAGCGAACAGGAUUAGAUACCCUGGUAGUCCACGCCGUAAACGCUGAGUGCUAGGUGUUAGGUCCUUUCCGGGACUUAGUGCCGACGCCAACGCAUUAAGCACUCCGCCUGGGGAGUACGACCGCAAGGUUGAAACGCAAAGGAAUUGACGGGGGCCCGCACAAGCGGUGGAGCAUGUGGUUUAAUUCGAAGCAACGCGAAGAACCUUACCAGGUCUUGACAUCCCGAUGCCCGCUCUAGAGAUAGAGUUUUACUUUUUGUACAUCGGAGACAGGUGGUGCAUGGUUGUCGUCAGCUCGUGUCGUGAGAUGUUGGGUUAAGUCCCGCAACGAGCGCAACCCUUAUUGUUAGUUGCCAUCAUUAAGUUGGGCACUCUAGCGAGACUGCCGGUAAUAAACCGGAGGAAGGUGGGGAUGACGUCAAAUCAUCAUGCCCCUUAUGACCUGGGCUACACACGUGCUACAAUGGUUGGUACAACGAGUCGCAAGCCGGUGACGGCAAGCUAAUCUCUGAAAGCCAAUCUCAGUUCGGAUUGUAGGCUGCAACUCGCCUAC
rnacentral:rRNA from 1 species